CAUUAAUGUUAGUUCCUGGCAUGGUUAGCGUAGAAAAAAUGAUUUUAAAUACAAACUGCAAAUUGUAUAUUUAUUUAUUUAUUUAUUUUAACCCAAAGAGUUCUACUCCUCACUUCAAGCAAAAAAGGUCAGCUCAAGCUUUCAGUCAUCCCACAGAAUGAAGUGCUUGUUGUCAGUGUUUCAGAUCGGAGCGCCAGGACCUCCAGCUCUGACUGGUACCUGAUCUACAGACCCCUGAACCUUAACCCACCCCAUGGGCUAAGGUUCAGCCACCAGCUGUACUACCCAGCCUGACUCCAGAGUAGGAUCCAAUUAACCAUGUCCCAGGCGUGGUACGCCAGACCUGUGAUUUAUUAUGUUGCAUAGAGGUUUCCUGAAUCACUUUUU